rnacentral:rRNA from 1 species
CCAUAUCUCCCUGUAGUUCUCGCCUGGUUUCCCACUGAAGCUAAACAGGGCUGAGCCUGGCCAGUACCUGGAUGGGAGACCUGCUGGGGAAAACUAAGGUUG